rnacentral:rRNA from 1 species
AUUGAACGCUGGCGGCAGGCUUAACACAUGCAAGUCGAACGAGUGGCGGACGGGUGAGUAAUGCUUGGGAAUCUAGCUUCUGGAGGGGGAUAACUACGGGAAACUGUAGCUAAUACCGCGUACCAUAGGAUGAGCCCAAGUGGGUUUAGGUAGUUGGUGGGGUAAAGGCUCACCAAGCCGACGAUCACUAGCUGGUCUGAGAGGAUGACCAGCAACACUGGAACGAGGACACGGCCCGGACUCCUCCGGGAGGCAGAGGUGGGGAAUAUUGGGCAUGGGGGGCAACCCGGACGCACCCAUGCCGCGUGAAUGAAGAAGGCUUUGGGGUUGUAAAGUUCUUUCUGCGGGGAGGCGUUACCCGCAGAGGAAGCACCGGCUAACUCCGUGCCAGCAGCCGCGGUAAUUC